rnacentral:rRNA from 1 species
UACGUAGGGUGCGAGCGUUAAUCGGAAUUACUGGGCGUAAAGCGUGCGCAGGCGGUUCGUUAUGUCCGAUGUGAAAGCCCCGAGCUCAACUUGGGAAUGGCAUUGGAAACUGGCGGGCUGGAGUGUGGCAGAGGGGGGUGGAAUUCCACGUGUAGCAGUGAAAUGCGUAGAGAUGUGGAGGAACACCGAUGGCGAAGGCGGCAUCCUGGGCCAACGACGUGACGCUGAGGAGCGAAAGCCAGGGGAGCAAACGGGGA